rnacentral:rRNA from 1 species
UACGAAGGGGGCUAGCGUUGCUCGGAAUCACUGGGCGUAAAGGGUGCGUAGGCGGGUUUUUAAGUCAGGGGUGAAAUCCUGGAGCUCAACUCCAGAACUGCCUUUGAUACUGAAGAUCUUGAGUCCGGGAGAGGUGAGUGGAAUUCCGAGUGUAGAGGUGAAAUUCGUAGAUAUUCGGAAGAACACCAGUGGCGAAGGCGGCUCACUGGACUGGUAUUGACGCUGAGGUGCGAAAGCGUGGGGAGCAAACAGG